AGGCGAUCCCAAAUUAUUCCAGCCAGAAGAAAAACAAGACAAUACUUUGGAGCUUGAAAGGAAACAAGGGAAGGUGGUUAAAAUGUGAUCCUAACUAAGGACCCACCCUGCUAAUCACCCAAGUGAGAUCAGCCAACUCUGCUGUGCAGUUUCCCCCUUCUCCUCUCCUGGUACCUGCAGGUUGGGGGCAGUUCUCAACCUAUCAUGCUUUCUAUUUCCCUGCAGCUUUCCUUUUUUUUUUUUUUUUUUUGUCUUUUUAGGGCCACACCAGUGGCAUAUGGAGUUUCCCAGGCUAGGGGUCAAAUCUGGGGCUGUAGCUGCUGGCCUACACCACAGCUAUGGCAAGGCCAGAUCCGAGCCACAUCUGCGACCUCCACCACGGCUCAUGGCAAUGCCAGAUCCUUAACCCACUGAGCGAGGCCAGGAAUCGAACCUGCAUCCUCAUGUUUCCUAGUCGGAUUCAAUUCCACUGCGCCAGGAUGGUAACUCCCACAGCAGCAGCUUUCAUAGCAGCUCUUUUGGCGAUUAAAAUGCUACAAGCUAUAAUUCGGAAGACUGCAAAACGGAAGACCAGUACCAGGUUUCUUAGUAACUGAGGGACUCAGCCUGAAGUUUACUACUGGGGACUGUUUGCUCUACAGCAUACAGGCCGGAGGGGCGAAAUGGGAGGGCAAAGGGGUCGUUUCCUUUUCACUCUGUAACUAAUUGAUUUGCCCUCGUGCGCCUCAAGAUGACACUCAUUGAUGGUCUGUGCAGUAUGGCCUACGCUAUUUUGCAGCUGUGCUGGGCAUAUUACAUCAAGUUCCUUACUCCCUGAUGUAGCACGCACCAUCUUGCAAAGGCCUAGAAGCUCCGCGCUCGGAAAACGUGCGCUGGGAAGCAAAGCCGGAAGAGUGCGGCCGCAGCGGCGCUGCUCGCCGAAGUCCAAUCAGAGAAGAUCCCAUCAAGGGAGGGGAGCCUUACAAAGUGUUAAAAAGGGCUUUAACUGGGUGGGUCGCUCCAGUGCGUCUACAGGACUCGGGGAAGGAGGGAGGCAGUUCUUGGUCAUCAGGCGUCCCUUGCUCAUUAGGAGACCCUUGCUCGUCAGGAGACGCAUCCUAGUCAUGUCUUCAAAGGGUGAGUCCUUGGCGGAGUUCCAUGGUGGCUCAGCGGGUUAAGGGCGUGGUAUUGUCACUUCUGUGGCCCUGGUUACAACUGUGGCAUGGGGUCCAUCUCUGGCCCGGGGAACACUGACAUAGCCAAAAAUGAAAAGAAAAAAAAAAAGUGAAUCCUUAGCAGGAGGGCCUGCGUGGGCAACGGGCCAAUGGUAGGUGAGGCUGGGCAGCGGGUCUGGGCAGGGCUUACCUGGAGUGAAUUGAAAUUUUCUGUUUGCUGUGACAUUUGGUGCUGAGACUUGGAAAGGGGAAAGCUAACCAAACCAGACCCUAAAACGGCCUUGGAGAAGGAGCUCAGGGUGGCCUUUGUCACCGGUGGCGGUACAGUGCAUUUUCUUUUUUUUUUUUUUUUUUUUUUGCCAUUUCUUGGACCCCCCCCCCCCCGCGGCAUAUGGAGGUUCCCAGGCUAGGGGUCCAAUCGGAGCAGUAGCCACUGGCCUACACCAGAGUCACAGCAACGCAGGAUCUGAGCCGCUCUGCAACCUACACCACAGCUCGCGGCAACGCCAGAUCCUUAACCCAGGGAUCGAACCCGCAACCUCAUGGUUCCCAGUCGGAUUCGUUAACCACUGCGCCACGACGGGAACUCCAUGCAUUUUCAAUUCACAACCUUGCUUGGCCUGGUAUUUUGCUCAUUUUUUCAUCAUGAAGUCAAUUCCAUUGAGGGCUGAGCCAGUGGCGAGUCCAUCUUGGGGGCCCAAGUCUAAGACUGAGGGCGGGGGAGCUUCUUCAGAUCACAACGGGAAAUGCAAAUGUUAAUGUAUAGAAAUUCCCAGAUGUUAGAUUUUUCUUAGAUGACAUUUCCUCGUAUUCGUUUAUUUAUUUAUUUUUAUUUCCUGGUUGUAGUUUUUGACAUCUCCUAAUAUGUGUGUUUGGGGUCCUUGUUUAGGUGGCAGAUACAUGUUUGUAGGGUCUUGACCCAUCUGGGCAUACCCAAUACCCAGGCCAGUAUCUGGACCUGUGCAUUGAGUUGUAAUUAUAGUUUAUAUGGCAGAUGCCCCCAAAAGGUGUUCAGGGUGCAUUGACUUCUGCGGUGUCUGAAAGACAUGUGGCUGGGAGCCCUGAGUUGGGAGCCGGUUCUGCCUCCAUAUUUCAUGAGAUUCCUGGGGCAGGGCACGGUGGGGGGGGGGGGGACCAGCAGCCAAAUAUUCGGAGCAGUCCUGGGAGAGCUCUGCAAAGGGGCCUAAGCUUUAUGCCUGGAAACAAAAUCCUUGUCGGAAGGCUGCAGGUUCUACACUGACCUGAACUUCCAGGAGCAAGUCAGAAGGGUGCGUGGAGGUGGAUAGGUCAAGUGUGAACCUAAAUGUGAGGCCUGAGACCAAAGUCUCUUUUCUUAUUCUCUAUCUGUCGCAGAGCCCCAAGAUGGCCCAGAGCCCCAAGAUGGCCCAGAGCUUCAAGAUGGCCCAGAGCCCCAAGAUGGCCCAGAGCCCCAAGAUGGCCCAGAGCCCCAAGAUGGCCCAGAGCUUCAAGAUGGCCCAGAGCCCCAAGAUGGCCCAGAGCCCCAAGAUGGCCCAGAGCCCCAACAAGGCCGGAGGCGCAAGAGAACCAGGUUCAACAAGAACCAAUACAAGAUUCUUAUUGAUGCCUUUGAAGCUGACGCUUACCCUGAUAUUAAUGUCCGAGUAGAACUCGCAAAUCAAAUACAAAUUCCUGAGCCAAGAAUCCAGGUAAAAGCAUAAAUCUGUGCUCUUCCAGAGGAGGGUGGAUCUGGGUGAGGAAUCAAUGCAUGUAUUUUAAUACUGGCUUAAGAAACUCUUAAUCCUCUUAAUAUCCAUGCAAGGUGGGCAUUAUCAUCCCCAUUUACCGGAUUAGGAAAACAAAGGUGUCGUAAUUUAGGUUACUACUUUGGCAAGGGGUAGAGUCUAAACUGGCUUCUAUGGGUUAUACUGUCAAAUAUUUACUAUAUUAGACUUUGAAACUGAGAAACUUCAAAAUAUUUGCUAAUUUAUUAAAAAUAACAAUAAUAAACUCAUUGCUUGUUAAUUUAAGUAACUAUCUUUCAAGAAAAGCAACCACAGGAAUUCCUGUUGUAGCUCAGCAGGUUACAAGCCUGACUAUUAUUCAUGAGGACAUAAGUUCCAUCCUUGGCCUCACUCGGUGAGUUAAGGAUCCGGCGUUGCCGUGAGCUAUGGUGUAGGUUGCAGACUCAGCUCAGAUCCUGUGUUACUGUGGCUGUGGUGUAGGCUGGCAGCUGCAGCUCCAAUU
rnacentral:lncRNA from 1 species